GGGAGGCGAUGGGAAAAGGGUGAGGAGGGGGCAUAGAUCUACGCGGAGAGGCUUUCAAAAUCCCAAACUUUCCAACUACGGGAAGGGAAAGCACAGCUGCCUUUCAGCCCCGUGCCUACGCUACCGCAACCUCAGCGCACAACUCGGCGAGGAAACGGGAAGCUGGAGGGGGCCCGGAGCAGCCCAGGGGCAUCUCCCCAAGCGCCCUCUCCUCCUGCCGACCCUGUGCACCCCGGGGCUGGAAUGAGUUGGGUAGAAGAUGAGCAUCCUUCCUACGGCACGCAAACACACACACACACACGUACGCACACACACAUACACAAAUGCACGCGGGCUGUCAACGAAGGCAGAGAAAUGGGAUGGUGGUGGAGAAAGCUGCAAGCUGCCUUCGGAGCCGCCUUCCCAACUCACUUCGCAAAGGCUCGAACCCCUGGGCACCCGCACACAGCCCAAUGCAGCGCUUACCUAUUUGCACGCUGCUAGGAAAAGCUCCCAUUGCUAGUCCCCAAAAGCCAGAAAACAACAAGACAAGCUGUCUGCAAAUUAUCCUCAUCUUCUCUUUUGCCUCUCUCUCGCCUUCUCCCGCUCGCUCGCUAGAUGCUGCUCAGAGAGGCAUUGAGGACGAGGCGGCUACAAACAAAAUCAAGAAUUUAAAAAUAUAAAAUAAAAAAAAUAAAAAAAGAGGGAAAAGGGGGAGAAAAAGAGAGGUUUUCUCCUUUCUUUCUCUUUUUUUUUCCUUUUUUUUUUUCUUUCAAUUUUUAUUUUGCUGUUGCUUUAGGAUUUGCUGCCUAUUCUCUGCCGCUCUGCCUCUCUCCCCGCAGCCGCCGCAGUUUCAGCAAGCCAUCCCGCCGCGCCGGGCUUUUCCCGCAGUCUCCAUCGCCGGGGAGCGGUUUGUGUCCGGCUGCGAGCGAUGCACAUGCAGAAGAUGGUGCUUUCUGUACCCUGGAAGAUUUAUCAACUCCUUACAUGCCUAGACUAAAGGAACCCCAUUUCUGCGGUCUUCCUUCAUGGAUAAUGCAUUCUGAGUCCUCUUCUCCAUCUUGCUGUUUGCUGCUGUGUGAUUUCCACAGUGACUACCGGUGUUUUGGAGGAUGGUGUUGAAGACUGCUUCAGCUGCACUUUUCUGGGGAGCAAGGAGGCAAUCCCCACCCAGAUCUUGCCUGCAAAAUUCUUGACUGCAGGAGGCGUUCUUUUCCUUCCUUUCUGGUGAUACUCCAUGUUGACUAACAGCUCAUUCCUAACAUGUUAGAGAAUGCACGUCCUUCUUCCUUAUUUGUCAUUUUGAGUUUCUCCUUACUAGUUAUUGCGAUCUGUAUUUCCUUCCUUCCUUCCUUCCUUCCUUCCUUCCUUCCUUCCUUCCUUCCUUCCUUCCUUCCUUCCUUCCUUCCUUCCUUCCUUCCUUCCUUCCUUCCUUCCCUCCUCUCUCCGUCCCUCCGUCCCUCCCUCCUUCCCUUCCUUAAUUCUGGGUUAUGUCUUUACUAAGACAAUUUUGAAUUUUGGAUUUGUUUACCAGUCUUCUAUAACCCUUCAGUAACCCUAACACAUCUACAGAUUUUAUCCAUUAACUUUGAAGUGCAUAUGUUUAAUGAAAUGUUGAAGACAGUUGGGCCUGAAAUCUCAGAGGAAACCAGCUUGAAAGGAAGACCCUUUUUGGUACUGACAGCUAUUCUUACAGAAGAGCUUUUCAGACCACAUACUGUCUUUUAUGAUUUUUUUCAUCCAGAUGACAUUUCUCUUAUUUUCCUCUGAUAAUUGAAUAUGUAAAAUACAAAAAGCCUCCUUGAACUCAGAACAUGGCAAAUUUUGUUUUUCUUUAUUCAGUAUUCCAGUUAUCCUGUCCAAGAAGGAAAUUAACUUGGUUUGACAUAAUUUGUUCUUGAAAAGUCUAUUUUGGCUAUUUUUAUUAUUCUGCAUGUAAGUUCACCAUUUGCACAUUUAUUCAUUUUUUCCUGUAGUCCUGUAGUUAGGUGAAAUAAUCUGUUUUCUUUGAAUCCUCUAUUAUUCCUCUCUAUAAGAUACCCGGUUUCUUGUUUUCUGAGACCAUCUCUAUUUAAUAUGACUCCUCACAUGUAAUUACUGGAGCUUAAAGUAAUGUUAUUUAUUUCUUUAUGUAAUUGAAGGUAAAUUUAAUCAUGUCCUCGACAUUUUAAUAUAUAAAUCUCAUUUAGAAAUAUUAGAUACUAUGUCUUAACUACUGAAAUUCAGAUGUUGUCUUUCCUAAUACUUUAGAAGGCUUGAAAACACCUUGAAAGAGUCGCUAUCAUAAAACUAUGCUUUAGCUCCCGGUAAUAUUCCCCACAACAUCCAAAAUACUCAUUUGUGGUGGUAUUUGAAAUAACAAAAUCCACUUUCACAUAGGACACAUUCAAAACUACUUCACUGCAGUUGUUUGGAAGUAUUUCACAUUUUGUUCCCUGAAACAUUUUUUUCAGAAUUACCAUUGGAACAGUACAGUUGGAAGGAACCCACAAAGAUCAUCGUGUCCCUGCUGCCUGACUGCUGGAGGGCUAACCAAAAGUGAAAGCACGUCAUUAGUAAGGGCAUUAUCCAAACUUCUUGAAUGCAGAAGCCUUGUAAGAAAAGCACAGAGAGAGCACUGGUAAAAGACUCUAAAUGUCUUGUAAAACAGUACCAAGAAGACUAAGUAAUUCUGCUGGACUGGAAGAUCAUAACCACAUCUGAAUGUUUCAAAGGUAUUUCUGAAGUCAAGGUAGACAACAUCUACAUCUGUCCUCUCAUCUACAAAAUUCAAGUUGACCUUAUGUGGCUAGCCUUAUUUACUGGUGGGUAGCAAUUACUCUCACAGUUAUCUGGGCUGGGAUGGAAGCUUAGGAUUUGAAGACAAUGUGGUUCAUGCUGCUGAAAUGCAUGACAGUUGGAAGAACUACUGAAUAUUGUUUGUAUAAUGUAAGGUCUCUGACUGAGGUUGAUAGCCAACCACAUGUAGCACCUAGAGGCAGAAAUACAUCUUACAAAUAUGUCUCACUUACCUGCAACCUUCCCUGUAUUUUAAAUAUUCAUGACAUCUUGUAGUAAUUAAUUCUAAAGUUGCAUUUCAUUUUAUUUCAUUUUCAUUUCAUGUUCAUAUACUUCCUUAUAAUUUCCUAGUGUACUUCCUCAUUAUUCUGUUACAAAAUAUGAGGAAUAAUCUUUCCUUUCUGUGUUGAUAGUGAUUUUACAUAUUCGCCUGUAAAAAUAUCUUUUUCUUUUUCCCAGAUGAUGAUGAUUUAUUUUUCUGUUCUGUAUAAAGAAACUAUUGUGUUCUUCUUCUGGUAUACUUUUUUUUUUUUUUUUUUUUUUUAAUGCAAUGAUUUGACUUAACCCUUGUGAGACAUUCCAAUAUGGAAACUGUGAGUUUAAUUGCUGACAUAGUUAUUUCUUGCAAAUUGUCCUCAGUUAUCUUGGGAAACACCCCCAAUACAACUACUAGCGGAACUGCUUAAAUGUAUUCUUGACAUUUUGAGAGAACUGUACACAGUAGUUCUCUGAGUUUUUCAUGGUGAUAAUACCUAACUUGGAGUCUUCAGCACCCAUCAGUAAUUCUAUUUUUUCCUCCAUGUACUACUACUCACUUUUCUACUGCAUUUCCACUACCAUUUUAUUACUUGGUCACCAGAUUUUGUUAACUAGAAGAUAACAACAAAACUACUUCUUGUAGCUGGAGAAAGAUAACUGACAGUAUAACUUUUCAAAUGGUUCCUAUUUUCUGUAACACUUUCAUGCUAAAUCCGCACCGGUGCAAGAAUAUCCAUAAACAUCCACAGCUCUGGCUUGGAAAAGAGAGUAACUUGAAAAAGAAGAAAAUAAGAGCUUUUUCACAUCAGUUUUUACAGAAGAUCUUUAAAUCCCAUGUAAUCUUGUUCAUUGGUGCAAAUCUGUGGGGCCCUGACUUCUCAGUGCUAAAAGGAACAAUUACAAAGUGUGUUUGUUUGCUUUUAAUAGCAGGAAAAAAUGGCUUAUAUUUGAACUUGACUGCUACAUUUGUAUACAGAAAGAUUAACUGACUGAAACAAUGAGGAGGGAAUAAAGGACAAGGUUUAAUUCAUGCUCUUGCUUGGUCAGAUUUUCUUCCAUUCAUUUCUA